CUUCCUACGGGACGAAGCAGUGAGGAAUAGUGGUAAAUGGGAGGGAGCCUGAACCAGCCAAGUCGCGUGAGGGAAGACGGUCCUAUGGAUUGUAAACCUCUUUAGGCGGGGAGCAAUGCCGGGCACGCGUGUCCGGAGGGAGAGUACCCGCAGAAUAAGCAUCGGCUAACUCCGUGCCAGCAGCCGCGGUAAUACGGAGGAUGCGAGCGUUAUCCGGAUUUAUUGGGUUUAAAGGGUGCGUAGGCGGAUUUUUAAGUCAGCGGUAAAAUGUCCGGGCUCAACCCGGGCCGGCCGUUGAAACUGGG
rnacentral:rRNA from 1 species